rnacentral:rRNA from 1 species
UACGUAGGUGACCAGCGUUGUCCGGAUUUACUGGGCGUAAAGAGCGCGCAGGCGGUCGUUCAAGUCGAGUGUGAAAGCCCCCGGCUCAACUGGGGAGGGUCACUUGAUACUGAUCGACUCGAAGGCAGGAGAGGGAAGCGGAAUUCCCGGUGUAGUGGUGAAAUGCGUAGAUAUCGGGAGGAACACCCGUGGCGAAGGCGGCUCUCUGGGACGGUACUGACGCUGAGACGCGAAAGCGUGGGGAGCAAACAGG